rnacentral:misc_RNA from 1 species
UCCGAGUUGACCCCGGCAGUCUUCGAUGAGUCCCCGCCAUAACGCGCUGGCAACAUCGAACGAGGGUUGCGCUCGUUGCGGGACUUAACCCAACAUCUCACGACACGAGCUGACGACAGCCAUGCAGCACCUGUGUUCAGGCUCCCUUUCGGGCACCGCCGCAUCUCUACGGCGUUCCUGACAUGUCAAGGGCAGGUAAGGUUUUUCGCGUUGCAUCGAAUUAAUCCACAUCAUCCACCGCUUGUGCGGGUCCCCGUCAAUUCCUUUGAGUUUUAAUCUUGCGACCGUACUCCCCAGGCGGUCGACUUCACGCGUUAGCUGCGUUACCGAAGGAGUUACCCUCCGACAACUAGUCGACAUCGUUUAGGGCGUGGACUAC